rnacentral:rRNA from 1 species
AAUCAACGCUGGCGGCGCGCCUAAUACAUGCAAGUCGAGCGAGAAGACGUAGCAAUACGUUUGUAAAGCGGCGAACGGGUGAGGAAUACAUGGGUAACCUACCCUAGAGUGGGGAAUAACUAGCCGAAAGGUUAGCUAAUACCGCGUACGCUCCUUGGACUUCGGUUCAGGGAGGAAAGCGAUGCCGAGGGUAUCGCGCUCUUGGAUGGGCUCAUGUCCUAUCAGCUUGNGGUGAGGUAACGGCUCACCAAGGCUUCGACGGGUAGCUGGUCUGAGAGGACGAUCAGCCACACUGGCACUGCGACACGGGCCAGACUCCUACGGGAGGCAGCAGUAAGGAAUAUUGCGCAAUGGGCGAAAG